rnacentral:tRNA from 1 species
GCCUGGCUGGCUCAGUCGGUGGAGCAUGAGACUCUUGAUCUCAGGGUUGUAAGUUCGAGCCCCACGCUGGGUG